AAAUACCUAAGCUUUUCUUCAGUAGAUGCCAAUAAGAAUUGCUCUCCUGUAACUUUUAAAAGGGUUUGACAACCCUUAAUUCAAAACACUGAGCGGUAAUGUUGGAUCACAUGGUGUAAAGAUCAGACACGCUGAAGGUGAGAUAAUUUAAAGACACACAAAUGAUCCCUCUUUCAUACACAGAGGAGUUCUCAGAGGCCCGCUUGCUGUGUCUAGAAGACUAAUCAACAGGCAAGACCCACUGUGCAAUAAAGCUUCCUAUCAGGAUUCCACAUCUGGCUUGCACAUCUUAAUUUAAUGACGAUAUGGCAACACAGCCUUUCCAUUGCACAGCACAAAUUAACACAUUGACUUCUAAGGGCAUAAAUCUAACGGGUAGCAUGUUUUCCCUACAGAGUUGUACUAAGAAAGUUUUCUGGCCAGGAGGAAGAAACAUGAAGCAAGAAGAACAUAAGGAACUUAUUGAGACUAAGCCUUAGAGAAACCACUGCAGUCUGUUCUCAAUUCCCCGUUUCACAUUCCUGAUAUGACCCAUGGACUAUAGUUGAAAACUGAAGAGCAAUUAUGUUUAUGAUCUCCAUUCUCCGAGCUGAAACAGCAUCUCCACUCUGCAGCAUCACUUGCCCUAGAUCUUUUAUUAUCAUCUAAUAAUGAUGAUAAUGAAAUCUGUGGUUCUAAAUCAUACCGCAGUGUGGCAAGUAGAGUUGAACAAGGGCCUGGAAGAUCACGGCUGAAAUCUCCACUCUGUCAUGAAGCUCACUGGCUGACUUAGGGCCAGUCACUAACUCUCAGCUAAUCUUCCUCACAGAGCUGUCAAGAUGGU